GGAACACAAGCGUUCAGUUGUGUCGACGCCAAGUCGAAGCACUGGUUCAACAUUGACGCCAGACUCCUUGUCAUGUCUAGGUCGCCCAAUGCUGCCCAACCGGUUUAUCACAAGAUACGACGUGAACACCACCAUGAAGCCCCGACUUGAACUUUCAAGAAAUGGUUGGGUUUGGUCAAGGGACUGGUAUUGGAUCUGAUAUAUCAUCAUUGUUGUCACACCUUUUCGCUAAAAAUGAUAUCUUGAAAAUGCUUGGUAUUGCUCCUUGUGAGGUGUUACCCAACGUUAAUGACGCCUGUCUGUAUAAGUGGUACAUACUUGACACCUAUGGCGAAGGAUGAGCCAGUUAUUUUCGAGUUUGUACUUUGGGUGCAUCUCGUUCCUCGGGUUGCAUUGCGCCCGCGACCCCAUAGGAGUUCCUGGUCUUGUCUCUCCGCCCCCAACCCCGAUAAACUCUGUGUACCGUGAACGAAUGCUCAUCAGGUCGACAGUUAUUUGACGGCGUAAAUCCAUCCAUAUUAACUGGCGCUGCGGCUGCGCUCAAUAGACUCCGUUGGGGAGUCUGAGCCUGAUAGGGUGUACCAGUCCAGCCGGUUAUGUACGGUUGGUAUGCUCUAUGAUAUGGAUCUCCAGCCACCUGUCAGCUAGGGGCAGACCCCAGUGUCUCAACCCUGGGUCUCAGAGGCGGUAACUUCUAGUCAGGCAGCGCGCUAUGUCUGGUUAGGCGACAUGGGUUACCAGGGCAUCCACAGCCAAAAUGGUUUGCACAUGGAGGUCAUCGCGACCGACUUGUGAGGGGGAAGAAGUGAUGUCCAUGGCGGUUUCAAAUUGAUCUGACGACCCCCGCGUCUUCUGGACAGGGAGGGGUUCAUGUGGCCAAAUCCUGUCAGCUAAAUCCUAUCGUUAGCAUCGUUCGCGGUACAUGGAAACCAAGGGCAUGGAACCCUUUUUUUGUCUUGGUUUAAUUACUCUGAGGAUUUCAAUGAUGAUAUAUAUAUUUAGAUCCACAGGUAUAGUCGGUACACGUGGCGACUCGCCACAUGAACAUUUUAAAAGUUUUUUUCGAGCAUUGUUAAAAGUUAUGAGAAUAAAUUUCUUCUUUGGACGUGUUUUUUUUACCAGAAUGACAAUCAAAAAGUUUGUCACUGGAGCAUUUCCCCAUCCCCCACCCCAGCCCUAGAAUAAUAUACAGACUAAAUAGUAUCUUUGGACUGUACUGGUAAUAUAGGUCAGUCACGAAAAAUAAAAUAUAUAUUGGACUGUACUGGUAAUAUAGGUCAGUCAC